rnacentral:rRNA from 1 species
UGCCAGCAGCCGCGGUAAUACGGAGGGCGCAAGCGUUGUUCGGAAUUAUUGGGCGUAAAGCGCGUGUAGGCGGUUCGUUAAGUCUGAUGUGAAAGCCCGGGGCUCAACCCCGGAAGUGCAUUGGAAACUGGCGAACUUGAGUACGGGAGAGGAAAGUGGAAUUCCGAGUGUAGGGGUGAAAUCCGUAGAUAUUCGGAGGAACACCAGUGGCGAAGGCGGCUACCUGGACUGAUAUUGACGCUGAGGUGCGAAAGCGUGGGGAGCAAACGGGAUUAGAUA